rnacentral:rRNA from 1 species
CCUACGGGAGGCAGCAGUGAGGAAUAUUGGUCAAUGGGCGCGAGCCUGAACCAGCCAAGUAGCGUGAAGGAUGACUGCCCUACGGGUUGCAAACUUCUUUUAUAAAGGAAUAAAGUGAGGCACGCGUGCCUUUUUGAGUGUACUUUAUGAAUAAGGAUCGGCUAACUCCGUGCCAGCAGCCGCGGUAAUACGGAGGAUACGAGCGUUAUCCGGAUUUAUUGGGUUUAAAGGGAGCGUAGAUGGGUUGUUAAGUCAGUUGUGAAAGUGUGCGGCUCAACCGUAAAAUUGCAAUUGAUACUGGCAGUCUUGAGUAGAGUUGAGGUAGGCGGAAUUCGUGGUGUAGCGGUGGAAUGGUUAGAUAUCACGGAGAACUCCGAUUGCGAAGGGAGCUUACUAGACUGCCACUGACAGUGAUGGUCGAAAGUGUGGGUAUCAAACAGGAUUAGAUACCCCGUGUAGUC